rnacentral:rRNA from 1 species
GUUUGAUCCUGGCUCAGGAUGAACGUUAGCGGCAGGCUUAACACAUGCAAGUCGAGGGGUAUAGUUCUUCGGAACUAGAGACCGGCGCACGGGUGCGUAACGCGUAUGCAAUCUACCUUUUACAGAGGGAUAGCCCAGAGAAAUUUGGAUUAAUACCUCAUAGUAUAAUGAGUUGGCAUCAACACAUUAUUAAAGUCACAACGGUAAAAGAUGAGCAUGCGUCCCAUUAGCUUGUUGGUAAGGUAACGGCUUACCAAGGCAACGAUGGGUAGGGGUCCUGAGAGGGAGAUCCCCCACACUGGUACUGAGACACGGACCAGACUCCUACGGGAGGCAGCAGUGAGGAAUAUUGGACAAUGGGCGCAAGCCUGAUCCAGCCAUGCCGCGUGCAGGAUGACGGUCCUAUGGAUUGUAAACUGCUUUUGUACAGGAAGAAACACUGGUUCGUGAACCAGCUUGACGGUACUGUAAGAAUAAGGAUCGGCUAACUCCGUGCCAGCAGCCGCGGUAAUACGGAGGAUCCAAGCGUUAUCCGGAAUCAUUGGGUUUAAAGGGUCCGUAGGCGGUCAGAUAAGUCAGUGGUGAAAGCCCAUCGCUCAACGGUGGAACGGCCAUUGAUACUGUCUGACUUGAAUUAUUAGGAAGUAACUAGAAUAUGUAGUGUAGCGGUGAAAUGCUUAGAGAUUACAUGGAAUACCAAUUGCGAAGGCAGGUUACUACUAAUGGAUUGACGCUGAUGGACGAAAGCGUGGGUAGCGAACAGGAUUAGAUACCCUGGUAGUCCACGCCGUAAACGAUGGAUACUAGCUGUUGGGAGCAAUCUCAGUGGCUAAGCGAAAGUGAUAAGUAUCCCACCUGGGGAGUACGUUCGCAAGAAUGAAACUCAAAGGAAUUGACG